ACAGCAGCCGCCACGGUAAUACGUAGGGUGCGAGCGUUAAUCGGAAUUACUGGGCGUAAAGCGUGCGCAGGCGGUUAUAUAAGACAGAUGUGAAAUCCCCGGGCUCAACCUGGGACCUGCAUUUGUGACUGUAUAGCUAGAGUACGGUAGAGGGGGAUGGAAUUCCGCGUGUAGCAGUGAAAUGCGUAGAUAUGCGGAGGAACACCGAUGGCGAAGGCAAUCCCCUGGACCUGUACUGACGCUCAUGCACGAAAGCGUGGGGAGCAAACAGGAUUAGAUACCCGUGUAGUCCCUGUCUCUUAUAC
rnacentral:rRNA from 1 species